GGAUAACUAUAUUUGGUAUGUGCGUACCUUGCAGGUCCUCAUGUCUGUCAGACAGUUUUCACUUGACCUCGACCUCAUUUCAUGGAUCAGUGAACAAGGUUAAGUUUUGGUGGUCAAGUCCAUAUCUCAGAUACUAUAAGCAAUAGAUCUAGUAUAUUCAGUGUAUGGAAGGACUGUAAGGUGUACAUGUCCAACUGGCAGGUCUCAUCUGACCUUGACCUCAUUUUCUUGGUUCAGUGGUUAUAGUUAAGUUUUUGUGUUUUGGUCUGUUUUUCUUAUACUAUAUGCAAUAAGUCAACUAUAAUUGGUGUAUGGAAUGAUUGUAAGGUGUACAUGUCUAGCUGAUAGGUGUCAUCUGACCUUGACCUCAUUUUCAUGGUUCAAUGGUUAUAGUUAAAGUUUUUGUGUUUUGGUCUGUUUUUCUUAUACUAUAUGCAAUAAGUCUACUAUAAUUGGUUAUGGAAUGAUUGUAAGGUGUACAUGUCUAGCUGACAGGUGUCAUCUGACCUUGACCUCAUUUUCAUGGUUCAAUGGUUAUAGUUAAGUUUUUGUGUUUUGGUCUGUUUUUCUUAUACUAUAUGCAAUAUGUCUACUAUAAUUGGUGUAUGGAAUGAUUGUAAGGUGUACAUGUCUAGCUGACAGGUGUCAUCUGACCUUGACCUUAUUUUUUAUGGUUCAGUGGUCAAAGUUAAGUUUUUUAGUUUUGGUCUUAUUUUUCUAAUACCUUGUGAAUUAGGUCAACUAUAUUUGGUGUAGGGACAUAUUUUAUGAUCCUCGUGUCGUUUACGCUGGUUUUAUUUGACUUUGACCUCAUUUUCACGGUCAAUUGCUAAUUUUUAAGUGUUUGUGUGUUUUGGUCUGUUUUUCUUUAUUUAUAAGCAAUAAGUCAACUAUAUUGGUUGUAUUGAAGAAUUGUUAGCUGUACAUGCAUGUCUGCCUGGCAUAGUUCAUCUGACCUUGACCUCAUUUUCAUGGUUGAUUGAUCAAUGUUUCCUUUUCUUGGUUAAUGUUGAGUUUAUGUGACAGUUGUAAUAAAGCUUUAUAUUUAGGUCUAUCAAGAUAGUAUAGUUUCAAGGAUUAGUAAAGAAGGCAAGACAUUUCAGUGUGUGCACUCUUGUUUUUAUAUAUAUACAUAUAUAUUAAGGGAAAAAAGGGGUCCAAUGGAUUUUAUCUUGUAAUCAACUUUUAAUCUUGACAAGUUUUUUUUUUUUUUUUACUUUUUAAAUUGUCAGUCGCAGUUAAAUAUAUAAACAUGUAUGUACAUGUUAUAUUAGCAAAUCUAGAACAAACUAAGUAAUUAUUUACAGCUUGUCUUGCAGUCUGCUCCACUGCUAAAAAUCUUUAGUAUUUAGGUGUCAACAGCUUAAUUUAUAUAUAUACUAGUAUAGAAUGUAUUGUAAUCUUCAUCCUGGGGGAUUCUAGAAGUUGCCCAAUUUAUGAGUAUCGUACGCUGUAUGUUUAGGUGCUGUUUGUUAUUUUAGGCUAGUGCUUUAUGAGGAACUUUUCUUUGCAUAAAUGAUUGGCCCUACUGGUUGCUGGGCAACAGUUGAUUCCAAAUUAUGGUUGUUAUUUAUUAUGGAAAUUAUAGUACAGGUUAAAACUCAGUAACUUUAGCAUGAACGCUGGGACGAUUUGAUUUGUUAUGCUUUUAAUAAUGAGGGUAUCUAGAUGUUGUUAAGCACUUGUUUGUGUUUAGUAAGUAUGUUUUUGUAGCAGACUGAUAUCCUCCAGAUGGGGUUGACUUAGGUCUAGGCAUGGAAAUGAAUUUUUGUGGUGGCAUAUUUGUCGCAUGUUAAACGUUAACUCAGAAUAUACAUGUAUAAUGAAACUGUAAGGAUCCAACAUAAUUUUAAUAAACUUGUAGUGGUAUUGACACAGGUAGUUCUAGAGUGGGUCUUUGCCAAUGAGAUGAAGAACAUGAUCAGAUGGAGUGUGAAAUUCAUCUUUCUUAAGUAAGGAUGGUCUCAAUUUAGACCAAUGCAAACUGGACUGGUGCUGCUAUAGAAUUUACAACUAUUUAUUGCCUUUAUAAUAAGCUGUCGGGUUGCUACAUAAAAUAUUAUGAUU
rnacentral:lncRNA from 1 species